rnacentral:ncRNA from 1 species
AAGAUAUGCCGGGUAGCUAUGUUCACAAGGGAUAAGCGCUGAAAGCAUCUAAGCACGAAGCCCACCCCAAGAUGAGAAGUAGACCCCUUGUAGACUACAAGGUUGAUAGGUGGCAGGUAGAAGCGCAGUAAUGCGUUAAGCCGAGCCAUACUAAUAGGUUGUUUGAUCUUCUAUU